rnacentral:rRNA from 1 species
UACAGAGGUCCCAAGCGUUGUUCGGAUUCAUUGGGCGUAAAGGGUGCGUAGGUGUCGUCGUAAGUCGGGUGUGAAAUCUCGGGGCUUAACUCCGAAACUGCAUUCGAUACUGCGGUGCUUGAGGACUGGAGAGGAGACUGGAAUUUACGGUGUAGCAGUGAAAUGCGUAGAGAUCGUAAGGAAGACCAGUGGCGAAGGCGGGUCUCUGGAAAGUUCCUGACACUGAGGCACGAAGGCCAGGGGAGCAAACGGG